GACGGAGGGUGCUAGCGUUGUUCGGAAUUACUGGGCGUAAAGGGUGCGUAGGCGGUCGGGUAAGUCUGAUGUGAAAUCUCGGAGCUCAACUCCGAAACUGCAUUGAAUACUAUUCUGCUAGAGGUUUGGAGGGGGGACUGGAAUUCUUGGUGUAGCAGUGAAAUGCGUAGAUAUCAAGAGGAACACCAGUGGCGAAGGCGAGUCCCUGGACAACACCUGACACUGAGGCACGAAAGCUAGGGGAGCAAACAGG
rnacentral:rRNA from 1 species